UACGGGGGGAGCAAGCGUUGUUCGGAUUUACUGGGCGUAAAGGGCGCGUAGGCGGUCGUGACAAGUCACUUGUGAAAUCUCCGGGCUUAACUCGGAACGGUCAAGUGAUACUGUCGGACUAGAGUACAGAAGGGGCAACUGGAAUUCUCGGUGUAGCGGUGAAAUGCGUAGAUAUCGAGAGGAACACCUGCGGCGAAGGCGGGUUGCUGGGCCGACACUGACACUGAGAGACGAAAGCUAGGGGAGCGAAUGGG
rnacentral:rRNA from 1 species